rnacentral:rRNA from 1 species
CCUACGGGAGACAGCAGUAGGGAAUCUUUCACAAUGGGCGAGAGCCUGAUGGAGCAACGCCGCGUGCAGGAUGAAGGCCUUCGGGUUGUAAACUGCUUUUAUAAGCGAGAAAUAUGAUGGUAACCUAUGAAUAAGGAUAGGCUAACUACGUGCAAGCAGCCGCGGUCAUACGGAGGAACCGAGCAUUAUCCGGAGUAACUGGGUGUAAAGAGUUGCGUAGGUGGGAAAAUAAGUAGCUGGUGAAAUAUGGUGGCUCAACAAUUCAGAGUAUUAGCGAAACUGUUAAGCUUGAGACCGUGAGGGGUAACUGGAAUUGGUAGUGUAGGGGUGAAAUGCGUAGAUAUUA